rnacentral:lncRNA from 1 species
UGUUUCGCACUCCAGCACAUAGCGGAAGUCGGUCACAACUCGAGACGCAAGCGCAUCAGCAGCGGCCGGCCGUCUUGACUUGACCGUCCGAUCGCCUUCCGUGUCUGCACACAGGCUGUAGGCAACGGCUGGUGGACGUGACGCGGAUGCGGGAACUGUGGUGAAAGCUGUAUCGUGAGAUACAGGGUAGCGGGGAUUCUUCUACGUAUGCCACGGCGCGAAUCCAGAUGUCCCAGAGAACCGUGGAUAGAUGAAGCCGUGGGGAUGGUGUUGGAGCCGCGUUGGUGGAGAACACGUGAGUAGCACUCGAUGCUCGGCGUGCGUGUGAUUGACAGCAUUCCAUCGAUGACCGGGGGACCAUGACCAAUGAGAGUCAUCGAUCGUAGCUUUCGGUACAGAAACGGGAACACGUCAAGCUGUCGUCGGCAACGCCCUGGGGUGACAUCCAUCGAUCGUGCGUACCAACGCACGGCGCCGCGUUACUGGAGGACCGAGACGGCCGCUGGUGAGGGACGAGGAGCUCAUGUAUUGAUGUGAUUCGUGAGCCUCCCAGUGUCGGUCGUGUGCCUUACGUGUGUCGUUCGUGGCCGGUGGCCGAGAAUGAGGUGCGCAGAACAGAAGGGGACAGGUUGGCUGCUGUAGGAGUAGAAGCCUUGAGGUUGCAAGAGGGAUUCGAC